UACAGAGGUCCCAAGCGUUGUUCGGAUUCAUUGGGCGUAAAGGGUGCGUAGGCGGCGCGGUAAGUCGGGUGUGAAAUCUCGGAGCUUAACUCCGAAACUGCAUUCGAUACUGCCGUGCUUGAGGACUGGAGAGGAGACUGGAAUUCAUGGUGUAGCAGUGAAAUGCGUAGAGAUCAUGAGGAAGACCAGUGGCGAAGGCGGGUCUCUGGACAGUUCCUGACACUGAGACACGGAAGGCCAGGGGAGCAAACGGG
rnacentral:rRNA from 1 species